CUACGGGCCGCACCAGUGAGGAAUAUUGCGCAAUGGGGGGAACCCUGAUGCAGCAACGCCGCGUGGAGGAUGACGCAUUUCGGUGUGUAAACUCCUUUUAUAUGUCAAGAAAAUGACGGUAGCAUAUGAAUAAGCACCGGCUAACUCCGUGCCAGCAGCCGCGGUAAUACGGAGGGUGCAAGCGUUACUUGGAAUCACUGGGCGUAAAGGACGCGUAGGCGGGUUGGAAAGUCAGGUGUGAAAUCCUACAGCUUAACUGUAGAACUGCACUUGAAACUUCUAAUCUAGAGUAUGGGAGGGGGAGAUGGAAUUAGUGGUGUAGGGGUAAAAUCCGUAGAUAUCACUAGGAAUACCUAAAGCGAAGGCGAUCUCCUGGAACAUUACCGACGCUAAGGCGUGAAAGCGUGGGGAGCAAACAGGAUUAGAUACCCUCGUAGUC
rnacentral:rRNA from 1 species